CCUACGGGCGGCAGCAGUGGGGAAUAUUGGACAGAUGGGCGAAAGCCUGAUCCAGCCAUGCCGCGUGUGUGAAGAAGGUCUUCGGAUUGUAAAGCACUUUAAGUUGGGAGGAAGGGCAUUAACCUAAUACGUUAGUGUUUUGACGUUACCGACAGAAUAAGCACCGGCUAACUCUGUGCCAGCAGCCGCGGUAAUACAGAGGGUGCAAGCGUUAAUCGGAAUUACUGGGCGUAAAGCGCGCGUAGGUGGUUUGUUAAGUUGGAUGUGAAAGCCCCGGGCUCAACCUGGGAACUGCAUCCAAAACUGGCAAGCUAGAGUACGGUAGAGGGUGGUGGAAUUUCCUGUGUAGCGGUGAAAUGCGUAGAUAUAGGAAGGAACACCAGUGGCGAAGGCGACCACCUGGCACUGAUACUGACACUGAGGUGCGAAAGCGUGGGGAGCAAACAGGAUUAGAUACCCCUGGUAGUC
rnacentral:rRNA from 1 species